GUCCACGCCCUAAACGAUGUCUACUAGUUGUCGGGUCUUAAUUGACUUGGUAACGCAGCUAACGCGUGAAGUAGACCGCCUGGGGAGUACGGUCGCAAGAUUAAAACUCAAAGGAAUUGACGGGGACCCGCACAAGCGGUGGAUGAUGUGGAUUAAUUCGAUGCAACGCGAAAAACCUUACCUACCCUUGACAUGGCUGGAAUCCCUGAGAGAUCGGGGAGUGCUCGAAAGAGAACCAGUACACAGGUGCUGCAUGGCUGUCGU
rnacentral:rRNA from 1 species